rnacentral:rRNA from 1 species
GGCAGCAGUGGGGAAUCUUCGGCAAUGGGCGAAAGCCUGACCGAGCAACGCCGCGUGAAUGAUGAAGGCCUUCGGGUUGUAAAAUUCUGUUAUAAGGGAAGAACGACUUUAGUAGGAAAUGGCUAGAGUGUGACGGUACCUUAUGAGAAAGCCACGGCUAACUACGUGCCAGCAGCCGCGGUAAUACGUAGGUGGCGAGCGUUAUCCGGAAUUAUUGGGCGUAAAGAGCGCGCAGGUGGUUGAUUAAGUCUGAUGUGAAAGCCCACGGCUUAACCGUGGAGGGUCAUUGGAAACUGGUCGACUUGAGUGCAGAAGAGGGAAGUGGAAUUCCAUGUGUAGCGGUGAAAUGCGUAGAGAUAUGGAGGAACACCAGUGGCGAAGGCGGCUUCCUGGUCUGUAACUGACACUGAGGCGCGAAAGCGUGGGGAGCAAACAGGAUUAGAUACCCUGGUAGUCCACGCCGUAAACGAUGAGUACUAAGUGU